rnacentral:rRNA from 1 species
AGAGUUUGAUCCUGGCUCAGGACGAACGCUGGAGGCACGCUUAAAACAUGCAAGUCGAACGAGAAGCUUUGGUGCUUGCACCGAAGUGGGAAGUGGCGAACGGGUGAGUAACACAUGAGAAACCUGCCCCGAAGAUUGGGAUAAGCCUUGGAAACGAGGUCUAAUACCGAAUACCUUCUAAUUAUCACAUGGUAAAUAGAAGAAAGCUCAGGCGCUUUGGGAUGGUCUCGUGGCCUAUCAGCUUGUUGGUGAGGUAAAAGCUCACCAAGGCAACGACGGGUAGCUGGUCUGAGAGGAUGUCCAGCCACAUUGGAACUGAGAUACGGUCCAAACUCCUACGGGAGGCAGCAGUUAGGAAUCUUGCACAAUGGGGGAAACCCUGAUGCAGCGAUGCCUCGUGCGGGAUGAAGGCCUUAGGGUUGUAAACCGCUUUCAGUUGGGAAGAAAGUGACGGUACCAACAGAAGAAGCCCCGGCCAACUAUGUGCCAGCAGCCGCGGCGAUACAUAGGGGGCGAGCGUUGUCCGGAUUUACUGGGCGUAAAGAGCUCGUAGGCGGUUUAAUAAGUCGACAAGUGAAAUCUCCAGGCUCAACCUGGAGCAGCCUUGCGAUACUAUUAUGACUUGAGUGUGGUAGAGGAGUGUGGAAUUCCCAGUGUAGCGGUGAAAUGCGCAGAUAUUGGGAGGAACACCUAUGGCGAAGGCAGCACUCUGGGCCAUUACUGACGCUGAGGAGCGAAAGCGUGGGGAGCGAACAGGAUUAGAUACCCUGGUAGUCCACGCCGUAAACGUUGGGAACUAGGUGUGGGUCUCAUUCCACGAGAUCCGUGCCGCAGCUAACGCAUUAAGUUCCCCGCCUGGGGAGUACGGCCGCAAGGCUAAAACUCAAAGGAAUUGACGGGGGCCCGCAC